rnacentral:lncRNA from 1 species
AUCAGGAUUAUGUAGAGAGAGGAGUUAAAACCUACACCAAGGAUGAUCAGGAACACAAAGCGAGAAAGCAUGGAAGGUAUGAAGAGGAUGAUGUAGGGCAUGGAAGGCACAUCAAGGAUGAAGAGCACAGGGGAAGGAAGCAUGGAAGAGACGAAGAGGAUCGUGGAGGGCGUGGAAGGCACAACAAGGAUGAAGAAUACAAGCGAAGGAAGCAUGGGAUAAAUGAAGAGGAAACUGAGUACAGAAAGGUGGAGGAUAACAAAGAGGAGCUUGGAAAUAGAAAACCUAGAAAAAUGGAGGAAGAACGGGGAAAUAAGGAUAUGGAUAGAGACAUGGAUUACAUGAGAGCAAAAUAUGAUGAUUCUCGAUCAAUUGAGAGGAGGCGCGAAAGUGAAAAACGUAAUGGAAGAGAUGGAGAGGAUCGUGGAGGGCGUGGAGGGCGUGGAAGGCAUGAUAAGGAUGAAGAGUAUAAGGGAAGGAAGCAUGGAAGAGAUGAAGAGGAAAACGAGUACAGAAAGGUGGAGGAUAACAAAGAGGAGCUUGGAAAUAGAAAACCUGGAAAAAUGGAGGAAGAACAGGGAAAUAAGGAUGUGGAUAGAGACAUGGAUUACAGGAGAGCGAAGUAUGAUGAUUCUAGAUCAAUUGAGAGGAGGAAUGGAGAGGAUGUUGAAGAGGAGCGUGGGAAUAGAAGGCCGGGAAAAGUAGAAGAAAGAGGAAGUAAAGAGACUGAAAGGGAUAGACACCUUGAUUACAAGAGAGCAAGAUAUGAUGAUUCUAGAUCAAGCGAGAGAAGGAGAUAUGGAAGUGACAAACAUAAUGAUGGUCGUUCCAGGCAUCGAGACUGAUAUGGUGGUAAGGUAUAUACUAUCCUCUAUUGAACUUUACAUUCACUGAUAUUGUGGCAUCGGGAGUACAUUUAGUUGUCAUUCUCUGCGAAAUCUGGAAAACCAUUUGUUUUGUUACUGAAAAACCUACUGUGCAUAGAUUGCCAUGCUUUUAUCUCCACGUUUAUACUGUUUUAAUAACUGUGUUGUACGCUAGCUUCCUUUUUGCAAAGCAGAGAAUCCUGUAAUGAGAGUAGUAAACCUCUGAUCAAACGUACUGGUUUAUAACUUUAUCUGCAAGAAAGUAUGCCUUUAUAUAUUAUGGCAGCGGCACGCUCGUAGUGUCCACAUGGUAUUUCUAUUAAGUCAGUUUUGGCUCUUUGCAACUCAUCUUCUACCCAUGGUUUUCCGAAUCAAGUGUUUAACGUUAGCAAUAUACGUUUCUAAUAUUGGUGGUUCUAAUCCUGACAUUAGUUAUGUUGCAGGUUUUUAUCGUGCCUAAGGCCUGUCAAUGCUUGCUAAGACAAUGGAGUCAUUGACUACUGGGAGCUGAAUGGAGAUGGAAUAUUAGCUUGAUAAGUUCACUGCAUCGCACUUUGAGUUGUAAUGUUUUGGUUGGAUCUGUAUGAAGAUCGUGCAACUUAUUUGUAGUAUGGUUUAGUAUCGCAGUUUAUGUUAUGCGGCAACGUUUUAGCAUUUUUGUUGGCCAUCAGAUCGAAUGGUGUGAUUUUAUUUAGAUAUUUUCGCGAGUCUUAUACUCGCCUCAUUACAGGCAUGCACGGAAUACUUGGAGUUUGUUAUCUGUAAGAAAAUGAAAUCUGGUGGUGUUGGCCUUAUAUCUGGAUGCCAUGGAAAAAUGGAACCGUUGUGACC